rnacentral:rRNA from 1 species
GACGAACGCUGGCGGCGUGCUUAACACAUGCAAGUCGAGCGGAAAGGCCACUUCGGUGGUCCUCGAGCGGCGAACGGGUGAGUAACACGUGAGUAAUCUGCCCCUCACUUUGGGAUAGCCACCGGAAACGGUGAUUAAUACCGGAUAUGACCAUAUGUCGCAUGGCGUGUGGUGGAAAGUUUUUCGGUGAGGGAUGUGCUCGCGGCCUAUCAGCUUGAUGGUGAGGUAAUGGCUCACCAUGGCUUCGACGGGUAGCCGGCCUGAGAGGGUGACCGGCCACACUGGGACUGAGACACGGCCCAGACUCCUACGGGAGGCAGCAGUGGGGAAUAUUGGACAAUGGGCGGAAGCCUGAUCCAGCAACGCCGCGUGAGGGAUGACGGCCUUCGGGUUGUAAACCUCUUUCAGUACCGACGAAGCGCAAGUGACGGUAGGUACAGAAGAAGCACCGGCCAACUACGUG